UGAGUGUCUCUCAUCCCAGUGCAAUGGAUC
rnacentral:piRNA from 1 species